UUACUUUGUCUGUUUCUGUUGCAGCAGUAAUAUAUCUUGGACUCUUACUUUGCCAAUAUAGUUGGUGUUCUGCUCGCUCUGCCACUCUUUACACUCACAUUCAUAUAAAAUGUAUGAUGCCAGUGAUGUGAUGUCUUCAUUUUGUCUUCCCACCUCAGGCAAAAUCAACCUGUUGCUCUUCUGACCCUGCUGCUCAGUGUGAACAUGAGAAGCCGGUCUUGCCGCUGACCUUUAGAGCCUUGUGUAAAACAUUGGUUGAAUUUAGUGUCCAGGUGCAUAUAACCAUAUUCUGCUGAAGAAUUCAUGCAUUGUUGCAUUGCAUUUGUUGCAAAAUUGGUCCAUAAUAGAAAUGUAGUAUUCUCCAUCAGCUGUAUUUCAAGAAGUGUCAUGCAUCUCAAAGCAUGGUUUAAAUAGUUUGUUUGCAAGAAGAACACAGCAACAGCUUCCCCUUUACCCAGGAUGACCCUGUAAUCCUCCAAACAUAGAAUCAUGCAUAUUUGUAUUAAUCUCUCAGAUCUUGGUGUCAGGCAGCUUUUCACAAGGGUGGUUAUACAAUCAGCCUUAACAAUAGAUAUGACAUUCAACACCACAGUGAUUGUGCGCAGCCUGUCAGGGGUCAUUGUGCUGGGUGGCAUUGUGCCGUUUUGCUUACCAGGCACUUUUUUUUCACAGGUGCCAGCUUUUGAAGGAGCCCGUCGGAUCGGAUGUGAACUGCCUUUGAGAAAACAACAAAAUGGUGUAACAAUACAGUGGGUGUUCGGUGAAGAACUGAAGAAAUCCUCCAAUUUCGGGGCCACACCCUGCCAGUGUCCCCUUUUGCCAGGCAUUCAUUCAUCUCCAGGAUGCUGGGUGUCAUUAAACCCGGACAUGGAAAGGGAGCACUUGUCUCUAAGGACUACUUGGGUGAUCACAGUGGAAGUGAUGUCAUUAAAGACUUGUUUUUGAGUGCCAGUUCCUCUCAGUUUUGAUAUCGUCCCUAACAAGACCAGACAUUUUGUACGUGUGGACUUUAACAACGACAGCUGCCUAAUUAAACCAAAAAUAUGCCGACAUUUUUUGGCAGACACAUAAAAGCGAUUCAAACGUUUACCUCCAAAAUCUACGUACAAAACUGUAAAUGUGGGUUUCUGGAUCAUGUCAAACCGUAGUGAUUGCUGUUCAGCUAAUAAUAGCUUGGCAUUCUAAUGGUACCAUUACUGGGAGAUCCCAGAGUGGUAUUUAGGUAAUGAAGAGUGUGGUCCAUUAGUGGGCAGCAGAAUUUAAUAUUGAUUCGUUGAGUGUAAAGCGCAUCACUGCC
rnacentral:lncRNA from 1 species